AUGGCAAAUUCUCUGUUUCCAGUAGUGGCUAAGGGUUAUACCCAAAAGGAAGGUGAAGAGUUCUUUGAUACUUACUCACCUGUGGCUCGACUGACCACUAUUCGAGUUCUACUUUCACUAGCUGCCUCGCAUGGUCUUCUCGUUCAUCAAAUGGAUGUUAAGACUCCUUUCCUAAAUGGAGAGUUGGACGAGGAAAUUUAUAUGAAACAACCAGAUGGGUUUGUACUAGAUGGUCAGGAAGGAAAAGUGUGCAAGUUGCCGAAGUCUUUGUAUGGACUCAAGCAAGCACCCAAACAGUGGCAUGAGAAGUUUGAAAGAACUUUAACCGUUGCAGGCUUCGUUGUAAACGAAGCUGAUAAAUGUGUGUACUAUCGCCAUGGUGGGGGCAAAGGAGUUAUUCUUUGCUUGUAUGUUGAUGACAUACUGAUUUUCGGAACAAAUCUGAAUGUUAUUAAGGAGGUCAAGGAUUUCCUAUCUCGUUGUUUUGAGAUGAAGGAUUUAGGAGUGGCUGAUGUCAUUUUGAACAUCAAGUUGUUGAGAGACGAUGAUGGUGGGAUUACAUUGCUUCAAUCUCACUAUGUUGAUGAGAUAAAGGCCACGAGCGGUUAUGUAUUCACUCAUGGAGGUGGCGUUGUUUCUUGA
rnacentral:rRNA from 1 species